GGAAUCUCUCGGGGUUACAGCCUUGCUGAAUUAUUCACCCUUGUCUUUUGCGUACUUCUUGUUUCCUUGGUGGGUUCGCCCACCACUAGGACAAACAUAAACCUUUUGUAAUUGCAAUCAGCGUCAGUAACAAAUUAAUAAUUACAACUUUCAACAACGGAUCUCUUGGUUCUGGCAUCGAUGAAGAACGCAGCGAAAUGCGAUAAGUAGUGUGAAUUGCAGAAUUCAGUGAAUCAUCGAAUCUUUGAACGCACAUUGCGCCCUUUGGUAUUCCAAAGGGCAUGCCUGUUCGAGCGUCAUUUGUACCCUCAAGCUUUGCUUGGUGUUGGGCGUCUUGUCUCUAGCUUUGCUGGAGACUCGCCUUAAAGUAAUUGGCAGCCGGCCUACUGGUUUCGGAGCGCAGCACAAGUCGCACUCUCUAUCAGCAAAGGUCUAGCAUCCAUUAAGCCUUUUUUCAACUUUGACCUCGGAUCAUGCCGUAUGCACGUGC
rnacentral:rRNA from 1 species